rnacentral:miRNA from 1 species
GUAUUAGUUUGGUGCAAAAGUAAUUGCAGUUUUUGCCAUUACUUUCAACAGGAAAAAACUGCAGUUACUUUUGCACCAACCUAA